rnacentral:lncRNA from 1 species
AGGCAGGAAAAUAUACAUAAAUGUUAGAGAGGACUCCUCUCAAACCAAAACUAAACAAACACCUCUUUUGGAACAAACUCCAAAAGAAAGCAAACAAAAAAACUCUAACCCGCGUCUAAAAAUUAAGAAACUACAUCUCUACUUGGACUUUAAAAAACCCGUUGCUGGAUGUUACUUCUGUUUCUUUGUUGAUGGGUAUUGAGUCUGUUGGCUCUCUCAUUUUAAUGCUAGUAUCUGCAGCAAAAUGAUUAGAUCAAUCAAUUGCCAUUUCGAAAAUAAAUGAUUUCAU